UACGGGGGGGGCAAGCGUUGUUCGGAAUUACUGGGCGUAAAGGGCUCGUAGGCGGCCAACUAAGUCGGACGUGAAAUCCCCAGGCUCAACCUGGGAACUGCGUCCGAUACUGGAUGGCUUGAAUUCGGGAGAGGGAUGCAGAAUUCCCGGUGUAGAGGUGAAAUUCGUAGAUAUCGGGAGGAACACCGGUGGCGAAGGCGGCGACCUGGGUAGAUACUGACGCUGAGGUGCGAAAGCGUGGGGAGCAAACAGG
rnacentral:rRNA from 1 species